rnacentral:misc_RNA from 1 species
GGAAGGAUCAUUAAAAAGUAAGGGCCACAGGGGCCGGCUAAAAACCUGAACAAACCUCCCUUACUGGAAGCACCCCCGGCUGUCCAUGGAUCUACAUCAUGAGAUCCUCAGUGCGGACAGACGCGGGUGCCGAAAGUUAAAACCCCAUGUGAAAACCCUUUGUUGCUUCGGCAGCACCUCCCGGCCCCUGGCCGUGGGGAUCAGCCUGCCGGCGGCAUGCUUUGAAACGCUUCAGUGAAAGGAAGCAUUGACAAUGUCUGAGAGCGCAGUCGAAUGAUACAUAAAACUUUCAACAACGGAUCUCUUGGUUCCCGCAUCGAUGAAGAACGCAGCGAAACGCGAUAGUUAAUGUGAAUUGCAGAAUUCAGUGAAUCAUCGAGUCUUUGAACGCACAUUGCGCCUUUUGGUAUUCCGAGAGGCACGUCUGUUUGAGCGUCAGUAAAACCCUUCCGGCCCUCGGUUUUUUUUUAAACCGCGGGGAUACGGGCACGCUGGCGUAGGGGACGUUGGCCACCGCGCUUCGGUGCGGGACAUGGCCUUCCCCCGCUUAAACCUGUGGAAGCUAGCGGGCAUGGUCCCGGAUUGCGAACGACUCGUAAAACCUACCGUCGAGAGCAUCCGUGCCUGCCCCGCCUCCAAAACCAAGAGUGGGAGCACCCUCCCAUCUGAACUCUUGACCUCAAAUCAGACGAGGAUACCCGCUGAACUUAAGCAUAUCAAUAAGCGGAGGAAAAGAAACCAACAGGGAUUGCCUCAGUAGCGGCGAGUGAAGUGGCAAAAGCUCAGAUUUGAAAUCCGGCGCGGUCCCCGCACCCGAGUUGUAAUCUGGAGAGGAUGUUCCGGCAAGGUUGGCCGCCCAAGUUCCUUGGAACAGGACGUCUUAGAGGGUGAGAACCCCGUACCCGGCGGUUCGGCCGAGCCAUGUGGAACUCCUUCGACGAGUCGAGUUGUUUGGGAAUGCAGCUCAAACUGGGUGGUAAAUUCCAUCUAAAGCUAAAUAUCGGCGGGAGACCGAUAGCGCACAAGUAGAGUGAUCGAAAGAUGAAAAGCACUUUGAAAAGAGAGUUAAAAAGUACGUGAAAUUGUUGAAAGGGAAGCGCUUGCCAUCAGAACAGGUGCCGGUCGAUCAGCGUUCCUUUUGGUUCGUGCACUCGACCGGCCACCUUGCCAGCAUCGGUUGCUGCGGCGGGACAAAGACGGCGGGAAAGUGACUCCCCUCGGGGAGUGUUACAGCCCGCCGUGUAAUGCCGCCAGCGGCGACCGAGGACCGCGCUUCGUGCAAGGAUGCUGGCCUAAUGGUUGUAAGCGACCCGUCUUGAAACACGGACCAAGGAGUCUAACAUCUACGCGAGUGUUCGGGUGCACAAACCCGCACGCGGAAUGAAAGUGAACGGAGGUGAGAGCCUUUACCGGUGCAUCAUCGACCGAUCCUGAUGUCUUCGGAUGGAUUUGAGUAGGAGCGUAGCUGUUGGGACCCGAAAGAUGGUGAACUAUGCCUGAAUAGGGUGAAGCCAGAGGAAACUCUGGUGGAGGCUCGCAGCGGUUCUGACGUGCAAAUCGAUCGUCAAAUUUGGGUAUAGGGGCGAAAGACUAAUCGAACCAUCUAGUAGCUGGUUCCUGC